UAGGGAAUAUUGGGCAAUGGACGCAAGUCUGACCCAGCCACGCCGCGUGCAGGAAGACGGCCCUCUGGGUUGUAAACUGCUUUUGACUGGGAAGAAAAGACUCCUUGCGAGGAGAGUUGACGGUACCAGCAGAAUAAGCCACGGCUAACUACGUGCCAGCAGCCGCGGUAAUACGUAGGUGGCGAGCGUUAUCCGGAUUUAUUGGGUUUAAAGGGUGCGUAGGCGGCUGAUUAAGUCAGCGGUGAAAGGUAGCAGCUUAACUGUUUUACAUGCCGUUGAUACUGGUUAGCUUGAGUUAACAGAAGGCAGAUAGAAUUUCUGGUGUAGCGGUGAAAUGCUUAGAUACCAGGAGGAAUACCGAUUGCGAAGGCAGUCUGCUGCAGUUACACUGACGCUGAGGCACGAAAGUGCGGGGAUCAAACAGGAUUAGAUACCCUGGUAGUCCGCACAGUAAACGAUGAUUACUAGUUGUUGGCUUAAGUCAGUGACCAAGGGAAACCGAUAAGUAAUCCACCUGGGGAGUACGCCGGCAACGGUG
rnacentral:rRNA from 1 species